GCAGACAAAAAGCUCCCGAGGGCGAAGCAGGGCAAGGACUUGCUUUGUUCACAGCUGAACACCACAUCUUAAUCCGAGUAGGGCACAUGAUCGGCUCAGUAGAUGCUUGCUGAAUGAACUAAGGCACAGUCACAUGCUUUUACUCCCUCAGCAGUGUCACCAAACGGAAGCCGCCUCAGAGGCCAUGGAAAGACCCAAGAGGGGAGCAAGAAAGGGAGGAUUCCUCUGGCUGUGUGUGUGGAACGAACUCGGGACCGUGCUGGGGCCGGAUCCAGGGAGGAGGUGACGGCAGUCGCCCAGGUGGAACAGCCAGGAUCUGCUGGUCGAUGAGAUGGGGGAGGAAGGGAAAGUGAGGUGAAG